rnacentral:rRNA from 1 species
UACGUAGGGUGCAAGCGUUAAUCGGAAUUACUGGGCGUAAAGCGUGCGCAGGCGGCUAUGCAAGACAGAUGUGAAAUCCCCGGGCUCAACCUGGGAACUGCAUUUGUGACUGCAUAGCUAGAGUACGGUAGAGGGGGAUGGAAUUCCGCGUGUAGCAGUGAAAUGCGUAGAUAUGCGGAGGAACACCGAUGGCGAAGGCAAUCCCCUGGACCUGUACUGACGCUCCAUGC